GCGGCCAGUGGGAGCCGCGAUCGGCCAAACCUGCGGACACGGCAGGUAAACAAACCAGCCCAGCCCACCAGGGGCUUUCCCUACACAAACGGCGUCCCGAGUUUGGGAAACACUGCUCUAGAAGAAACUCAUGUGUCUCUUUGGUAAUAGUGAAUGUAAGCUGCAGGAAAUGAAGGGGGGAUAGAACCAGGAUUAGGGCAGCAGUGACAGCGGGGCUGCAGGAGACUCCCUGCACGGCCAAGAGGCCCAAGACACCAGGGUGCAAGGGUGUCAGCUGAAAUCGACAUUUACUGACAUCUAUCGAUUUAUAUCGAAUCCUGCCAAGCUUAAUUUUAGGUUAUGACUGCAUUGUAACUGACUGGCACAUGGACAGUGCACUGCAUAAAUGUUCAGCGACUGUAUAUAUUUACCACACUUCAGAGGGUAGGAAAUUAAAAACUAACAUGU